GAUGGGCCCGCGUCCCAUUAGCUAGUUGGUGAGGUAACGGCCCACCAAGGCGACGAUGGGUAGCCGACCUGAGAGGGUGAUCGGCCACACUGGGACUGAGACACGGCCCAGACUCCUACGGGAGGCAGCAGUGGGGAAUAUUGCGCAAUGGGGGAAACCCUGACGCAGCGACGCCGCGUGAGCGAAGAAGGCCUUAGGGUCGUAAAGCUCUGUUUUAAGGGACGAAUGUCGCGGGUAAUAAUACGAUCUGCGAAUGACGGUACCUUAAGAGGAAGCCCCGGCUAACUACGUGCCAGCAGCCGCGGUAAGACGUAGGGGGCGAGCGUUGUCCGGAAUUACUGGGCGUAAAGAGCACGUAGGCGGGAUUUUAAGUCAGGUGUGAAAGACCGUGGCUCAACCACGGGGUUGCACUUGAAACUGGGAUUCUUGAGGGCAGGAGAGGAAAGUGGAAUUCCUGGUGUAGCGGUGAAAUGCGUAGAAAUCAGGAGGAACACCGGUGGCGAAGGCGACUUUCUGGACUGACCCUGACGCUGAGGUGCGAAAGCGUGGGUAGCAAACARGAUUAGAUACCCUGGUAGUCCACGCUGUAAACGAUGGAUUCUAAGUGUGGGAGGUAUCGACCCCUUCCGUGCCGCAGCUAACGCAAUWAGUAUCCCSCC
rnacentral:rRNA from 1 species